rnacentral:rRNA from 1 species
UACGAAGGGGGGCUAGCGUUGCUCGGAAUCACUGGGCGUAAAGCGCACGUAGGCGGCUUUUUAAGUCAGGGGUGAAAUCCUGGAGCUCAACUCCAGAACUGCCUUUGAUACUGAGAAGCUUGAGUCCGGGAGAGGUGAGUGGAACUGCGAGUGUAGAGGUGAAAUUCGUAGAUAUUCGCAAGAACACCAGUGGCGAAGGCGGCUCACUGGCCCGGUACUGACGCUGAGGCACGAAAGCGUGGGGAGCAAACAGG